rnacentral:rRNA from 1 species
CCUACGGGAGGCAGCAGGGAAUAUUGUGCAAUGAGCGAAAGCUUGACACAGCGACACCGCGUGUGGGAUGACGGUUCUAGGAUUGUAAACCACUUUCAGGAGGGAAGAAAAUGACGGUACCUCCACAAGAAGACCCGGCCAACUAUGUGCCAGCAGCCGCGGUAAUACAUAGGGGUCAAGCGUUGUCCGGAUUUAUUGGGCGUAAAGAGCUCGUAGGCGGUUCAACAAGUCGGUCGUAAAAGUUUAGGGCUCAACCCUAAAAUGUCGAUCGAUACUGUUGUGACUAGGAUACGGUAGAGGUGAAUGGAAUUCCGAGUGUAGCGGUGAAAUGCGUAGAUAUUCGGAGGAACACCAAUUGCGAAGGCAGUUCACUGGACCGUGAUCGACGCUGAGGAGCGAAAGCUAGGGGAGCAAACAGGAUUAGAUACCCUGGUAGUCCUAGCUGUAAACGAUGGAUACUAGAUGUAGGAACUGGAUUGACGAUUUCUGUAUCGUAGCUAACGCGUUAAGUAUCCCGCCUGGGGAGUACGGUCGCAAGACUAAAACUCAAAGGAAUUGACGGA